rnacentral:lncRNA from 1 species
AGAUGCACUAUUGUAAAGUGGUUGUUCCACUGGAUAUCAUAAGGUGAAUGCACCAUUUUGUAAGUCGCUCUGGAUAAGAGCGUCUGCUGAAUGACUUAAAUGUAAUGUAAUGUAAUGCUGUUUGAUGUCAUUGACCCAUGAAGCAGUAUUUUCAGCAUCUCUGUCCUCACUACACUAUUUGGUAACAAUUUACAUUUAAAUAUCGUAAAGUAUACUUUCCACACAUAUAAGCACAUCAUAAACAUAGCAUACUAGGCAAUUACAAACCACCCAUCUCGGUAUCUGCGUUGAUAUUGUUUUACAGAUAACCUUUAUUGGGUAUGGCAAUAUCUCUAAGAAUUAUUGUUAUUUUACAAUGGAAGUAAACAGGGACGAGAUUGAUUAUUUGAUUAGUGAUGCUUUCCAAUCGUCUUGAGCAUUAGCCGUCGCAUGGUACUCAAGGUUCUCUCUCUCUCUCCCGCUCUCUCUCUGUGUUUUUGGAGACAUGUUUCUGUUCUUUUUUUUCACCACCUCACUGAUGCGAUGCGCCAACGCUUGAGUGCGCUUCACUGUGAUCCUCUCAAGAGUCCUCGAGGGAUUCAAUCAAUUCUCUAAGUGUCCCGAUGCCAUCUACAUGGUUAUGUCCCAAACAGCACCCUAUUCCUUAUAUAGUGUACUACAUUUGACCAGAACUCCAUUGAUCCUGGUCAAAAGAGGUGCACUAUAUAGGAAUAGGGUGCCAUUUGGGACGAAUACCGUCUCAUGUACUGAAAGAGAGAGUCUUGGUAUUGUACUCAUUGUACUAGGCUCACAUCAGCCAGUUGUAGAUUGCUAGGUUUAUGUACGAUUUGGUUUGAUUACGUGUGCAUGCUUGGGAGUAUUUGCAGAUUUUUACUGGAUGUCCAGUUUAGUAAGUAGGCCCAAAUCAGCCAAUAUUCCGACAUUGGAGUGCAUGUUCUUUUUUCAUUUUUAAGAGCGGAAUUCCACUUUAUUCAGACACUGUGGAAUUAAAUGGGGUAGCAGGCCAGGAAGAGGGAAAGAAAGGCGGAAGUGGGGUUUGAACCUUAAACCUGUAAUAUGUCCCUGCUGUAGGGAAUGUUACCACUUAACCUUAUGGGCACACUCCUAGUGGAAGUUUCCCCUAGGUACAGAUCUAGGAUAAUCUCCCUCUCCCCCAAUCUUAACCAUUAGUGGGGGAAUUGCAAAACGGACUCAAGAUCAGUGUCUAGGGGCAACUUCACCCUACUCCUACUGGCACACAGGAGUGCAUCUUCCAAUGUAAGCUAUGAAGGCAGAGUUUAGACCUCACUCAACUCUGUCAUUGUUAUAGUUUGGCAGAGACUCCUAGAUCUAUACUGGGGCAUUCCUUCCUACAUUUAGCUAAUCAAACUUACUGAGAAACCACAGUUUUGUUUGCCUUUCUUGCUCAUUCAUCUCACUAAAGUUAAUAAAAAUAACGAGGACAUUCUAUCCAAUUCGAAUACAAUAUUUUUAAAGGUGUAAAGUAGACGCUGGAAGUCGAGAAGCAGGAGGUAAGUCUAAUAUAACAAUGAACAUGGAACGAUACAACGUAGGAGUAGCGUCUAGACAUGAACAAACAGAAACAAUACUGCCUGGGGAAGGAACCUAAGGGAGUGCAGGAUAAAGGGGAGGUAAUGAGUGAGGUAAUGAAGAACAGGUGUGCUUGAUGAUGAAGAUCAGGUGCGAGUAAUAAUGAAAGCCAGGUGCACGUAAUGAUGAUUCCCAGAACCAGUGGUUAGUAAACCGGCUACGUCGAACGUGGGAGGGAAGGAGCGGGAGUAGACGUGACAGUACCCUCCCCCUGACGCGCGGCUCCAGCCGCAACACACCAGCCAGAGGUAUGGAACCGAGGACGAGGAGCAGGCCGGUCUGGGCGGCAAAGAUGGAAAUCACGGAUGAUGUUGGGAUCCAGAAUGUCCUCCACCGGAACACAACACCACUCCUCUGGGCCGUACCCCUCCCAGUCCACCAGGUACUGGAGCCAACCCCCACGAGGUCGGGAGUCCAGUAGGGAUCUGAUGGCAUAGGCAGGAGCUCCAUCGACGUCCAGGGGGGAAGCAGGGGUGUCAUGGGGGACAGCAUCAGCCAGGGGAACAGGAACCACCGGCCUGAGAAGGGAGACACGAAAUGAAGGAAAAUGACCCAACACGCCUCAAGGCUGUGUAAAGGCUAUUUGACCAACAAGGAGAGUGAUGGAGUGCUGCAUCAGAUGACCUGGCCUUCACAAUCACCCGACCUCAACCCAAUUGAGAUGGUUUGAGAUGAGUUGGACCGCGGAGUGAAGGAAAAGCAGCCAACAAGUGCUCAGCAUAUGUGGGAACUCCUUCAAUACUGUUGGAAAAGCAUUCCAGGAGAAGCUGGUUGAGAGAAUGCCAAGAGUGUGCAAAGCUGUCAUCAAGGCAAAGGGCUGCUACUUUGAAUAAUCUAAAAUAUAUUUAGAUUUGUUUAAAACUUUUUGGGUUACUACAUGAUUCCAUAUGUGUUAUUUCAUAGUAUUGAUGUCUUCACUAUUAUUUUACAAUGUAGAAAAUGUAGAAAAUAUUAAAAAUAUAGAAAAUCCCAUGAAUGAGUAGGUGUGUCCAAACUUUUGACUUGUGCUGUACACUGCUGCUACGUUUUACUAUCUGUCACUAUAUCCCUACCUAUAUGAACAUAUCUACCUCAAUUACCUUGUACCUCUCAUCGACUCGGUACUGGUAGCCCUUGUAUAUAGCCAAGUUAUCGUUACUCAUUGUGUGUCUAUUACUACUUUUAUUAUUACAUGUUUUACAUUUCUAUUAUUUCUCUAUUUGCUUUCUCUCUGCAUUGUUGAGAAGAGCCCCUAAAGGAAGCAUUUACUGUUAGUCUACGCCUGUUCUUUAUGAAGCAUGUGACAAAUAAAAUUGUAUUUGAUUUAAGUCAGACCAAGGUCUAGGUGGUAUUUGUUUCUUUCAGAUACUUUGAGCCUCCGUGGCGUGCCAGAUGUACAGGGUUUGUUAAACUUGUGAGACUAUUCCGUUGGUUCCAGUGUGCCAGGCAGUCUCAAUGAAGCACAGUUAAGUAUUUGAAGGAAAACAAAUACUAGUAGGUUGAAGCGGGAUUUUCAUG